GUCAAUAAUUUAAAACUAACGUUACUAGAGCGAGAGGAACAAGUUUAGUUUUAUUUUUUGGAGGAAUAUUUGACGACAAACUGCUAUCAUCAUCAUCAUGUUACGAUAUGUGAUUUUAUUGGUCUGUGUGUGCGUAGUUCUUGCACAGUUUAAACGAGGUAAACCUAGAAGAAAAUCUGAGAAACCUAAAUGGGAUUGUACCGAUAUAGAGGAUGGUUUGUAUAUCGGUGAUUGUUUAAAUUUCUAUAGAUGUCAGAAUGAAACAACACGUCAUCUUCCCUGUCCUGGGGAUCUCGUAGUUAAUGAAAAACAGAUGUGGUGCGAUUAUAAGGACUUGGUAGCCCCACCAUGUGGUACAGCCCCUAAUUGUACAGGUAUUAUAGAUGGGAACUACCCGGAUUACUCAAGGCGAUGUCAGUAUUAUUAUACAUGUCUACAUAACGAUUUCUACGGUUUUACUAAAUGUGCUGCCAACUUACUGUACAACCCCGAGAAAAACAACUGUGAUUGGGCAUUCCUGGUUAAACCACCGUGUGGUGACGCUGCAGAACACGUCUACCCUGAAAAACCCGACCGAGUUGGCUGAAUACAAGACUGGAAGAGUUGUUCCCCCCUUACCAAUACACUCUUUAAUCAUUCAUAGUUUUAUCAAGUAUGUUCAAGUGCACCAUGCAUUCAUAGGUUUUUAACUCUGAUUAAUUAGCCCAUUUACAGGACAUGAAGAGUUACUUCCCAUGUAUUUCUAAAUCUAAUUUUCUCUUACCCAGUACAUUCGAAGGACACACAGAGUUAAUACCCGUACUGACUUCAAUUAGUGUGGGUGAAAAAUGCUGAUGUUAAAAGAUCUUUCCACUUUUGUUACUUUUAUUUUCUACGCCUCCAUUUUGUUUGCCAUCGGUAAUUAGGUUACCAUUUUGUUAUGUCGAUAUUAACAUUUAUCAUUUGUUCAUCGGAUCAUAAUUCAUUAAUAAACAAUUAAAAAAGUAA